rnacentral:rRNA from 1 species
AGUGAACGCUGGCGGUAGGCCUAACACAUGCAAGUCGAACGGCAGCACAGUAAGAGCUUGCUCUUACGGGUGGCGAGUGGCGGACGGGUGAGGAAUACAUCGGAAUCUACUUUUUCGUGGGGGAUAACGUAGGGAAACUUACGCUAAUACCGCAUACGACCUACGGGUGAAAGCAGGGGAUCUUCGGACCUUGCGCGAUUGAAUGAGCCGAUGUCGGAUUAGCUAGUUGGCGGGGUAAAGGCCCACCAAGGCGACGAUCCGUAGCUGGUCUGAGAGGAUGAUCAGCCACACUGGAACAGAGACACGGUCCAGACUCCUACGGGAGGCAGCAGUGGGGAAUAUUGGACAGUGGCGCAAGCCUGAUCCAGCCAUACCGCGUGGGUGAAGAAGGCCUUCGGGUUGUAAAGCCCUUUUGUUGGGAAAGAAAAGCAGCAGGUUAAUACCCCGCUGUUCUGACGGUACCCAAAGAAUAAGCACCGGCUAACUUCGUG